rnacentral:misc_RNA from 1 species
UACAGAGGGUGCAAGCGUUAAUCGGAGUUACUGGGCGUAAAGGGCGUGUAGGCGGAAAGACAAGUUAGAUGUGAAAGGCCUGGGCUUAACCUGGGAAAGUCAUUUAAGACUGUUUUUCUAGAGUAGAGUAGAGGUAAGCGGAAUUUCCGGUGUAGCGGUGAAAUGCGUAGAUAUCGGAAGGAACACCAGUGGCGAAGGCGGCUUACUGGCCUCAUACUGACGCUGAGGCGCGAAAGCGUGGGUAGCGAACAGG